rnacentral:rRNA from 1 species
UACGUAGGGUGCGAGCGUUGUCCGGAAUUAUUGGGCGUAAAGAGCUCGUAGGCGGCUUGUCGCGUCGGUUGUGAAAGCCCGGGGCUUAACCCCGGGUCUGCAGUCGAUACGGGCAGGCUAGAGUUCGGUAGGGGAGAUCGGAAUUCCUGGUGUAGCGGUGAAAUGCGCAGAUAUCAGGAGGAACACCGGUGGCGAAGGCGGAUCUCUGGGCCGAUACUGACGCUGAGGAGCGAAAGCGUGGGGAGCAAACAGG